ensembl:lncRNA
GAUGUCACAAGGGGCAAUGAGCAGUGAUGUCAUGUGAUUGGGGCACGGCGUGAUGAUGUCACCAGGCUGGGCCAAUGGUGUGACGUCACGGGGAAAACAUGGGAGCAGGGGAGGGGACAGGGGAACUCACUGGGCCGCCAUCUUGGCCUCCUCCUCCGCCAUCUUGCCGUCCUCCUCGGCCGCCAUCUUGACGCCCUCCUGGGCCCCCACCCUGACACCUCUGGCCGCCAUCUUGUCCUGGUGGGCCGCCACCUCGUCCUCCUCCGCCGUUAUCCCGACGUCCCCCUGGGCCGCCAUCUUGUCCCCAACCGCCAUCCCAUCCUCAGCCACUGCCACGAUGUCCUCCUGGGCCGCCAUCUUGAAGCCCUCCUUGGUCACCAUCUUGGAGUCCUCCUGGGCCGCCAUCUUGGAGUCCUCCUUGGCCGCCAUCUUGGAGCCCUCCUUGGCUACCACACAGUCCUCCUUGGCCGCCAUCUUGCAGUCCUUGUCCACCAUCCAGUCCUCCCGGUCCGCCAUCGUGACGUCCCUUUUGGCCGCCAUCUUCUCCCCUUCAGCCACCAUCUUGUUCCCAGCCUCCACCUCGAUGUCCUUGCCCACCAUCUUGUCCUCAACCAACACCUCACCCUCCUCGGCCGCCAUCUUGUCCCCAUCCGCCAUCUUGUCUCCCUCAACCGCCAUCUCCCCCACCUCGGCCUCCAUCUUGUCCCCCUCAACCGCCAUCUUGCCCUCGGCCGCUCUCUUGUCCCCAGCCGCCAUCUUGCCUUUGGUUAACAUCUCGUCCCCCUCAAUCGCCAUCUUGCCCUCCUUGGCCGCCAUCUUGCCCUCCUUGGCCGCCAUCUUGUCUCUCUCAAUCGUCAUCUUGCCCCCAUCCACUAUCUCGCCCUCC